rnacentral:rRNA from 1 species
UACGAAGGGGGCUAGCGUUGUUCGGAAUUACUGGGCGUAAAGGGCGCGUAGGCGGCUCUGAUCGUCGGAUGUGAAAGGCCUGGGCUCAACCUGGGAAUGGCAUCCGAUACGGCGGGGCUGGAGUGUGGGAGAGGUUGGUGGAAUUCCCAGUGUAGAGGUGAAAUUCGUAGAUAUCAGGAAGAACACCAGUGGCGAAAGCGGCGACCUGGCCCUUGGACAAUUGACGCUCAUGCUCGAGAGCGUGGGGGAGCAAACAGG